CAUUCCCAGGACGUAGCAAAUGCUUACAUCAUAAACUGCGACUUCCACCAAGUGUAACCGUUAUGGGCUUUGUAUAAAAGGACUGCCUACCACUAACUACAGCUCUCUGCCUCUCUUCUCAUGUGUCUUUUUCUUUUCUCUCUGUUUCUCACUGUUUCUCUCUCUCUCCCUCGUCCCCCUCCUUCCCCUCGUUCUAAAGUUCUUCCUUGCUCUCCAUUCCUCGUAGGUCUCACUCUCUUACAUCACGUCCUUCAUUUGGCCUCCUCCUUCUGUGUCCUGGUGACUGUUCUCUCAUCUGACUAUCUUACCUCAUGUCCAUUCCUCUGCUUCUCCUCAUUCUCUAUGUUCUUACUUCUAUUUCUCAGUGCUCUCCUGCCUCACUCCUCUCCCUCUAACACAUCCCCUCGUCUUCAGUCCGCAUUGUCUCCAAGUAAGCCCCUUUAUGCAAGAUCUUUUGUAAGGAAUGAAUAAAGGUGUGAUCCUGACAGGUAGCCUUUACUGAUUAAGGUCUCAUUCAAAUGAAUACUGUGAACUCAGGUCAAUCCCAAUAGUGUUAAGGCCUAAGACCUUUUCCAACUUUAAAAUGAGUCUCAGUUUUCCCAGAUAUGUACUAGUGUCUUAGGCCUUCAUUGAGCUCUUCCUGGGACCUAAGACCUCACAAAUUUGUCACUCAUCUUACAGCCUGUCCAGGGUUUUCACUGAGCCUAAGGGUAAACUGAAGGAUUGUUUGAAGACUAAAAAUGUUGCUAUGUUUUUACAGCAUCUAUAAGGCAAUUACCAUAUUAUAUAUUCUGAAAUUUUUCCUUUUCUCUUUCUAGCCUAAAACGUUAGGCAGGUCCUUGCACUUGGGCAAGAUCACUCCUCACGGUUCUCAUUGGUCCUUAAGAACUUUGACAAACUUUUUUUGAGGCCUUCCCUGUUCUCCAAAUUUUUACUGUGGCCUGUAAUAUUCUACAGUCACUAAAGUUUACAGUUGUCUCCAGGUUCUACCUGGGUGUAGGAUACUUGAUUAUGUUACAUAGACAAUCUAAUUGUCAGCAAAUUAUAAAAGCUAAAACUGAUACUGCAUAUUCUCGAAUGCAGGUUAGGUGUUCCCCUAUAGCCUGUGUUAAUUAGAAUGCUUGAAAAUGGAAUGUUCCCACCUAUUUUAAGGCAAAUUGCUUGGAAGAGGUCUUCUUUCCCUCUUUUGUGGCCAGAGGCAAAGUCAGCAGAAUGGUAUGACUGGCUUGGCUUGGAGUCCCUCUAAUCAUUAUAGUGACAUUGUUCACCUAGCAGAUGUUGUGGAAGAAGACCUGGAGAUUCUCUCUAUAGCAACUGGACUUUGAUAGAUCGCUCUAUGUCACUCUGUAUCUCUCUGAGUCUUAACCUGUCUCUGUCUUUAUGUUUCUUUCCUCUUCUGUUUUUGUCUCUUUUUCUCUCUGGCUUUAAAGAGUCUUUACAGAAGGAGCUCCAGGCUCCAUUCAAGGGUCUGGAUGGAAGAGGAGUCUCUACAGAUACAGGGAAGAUCAACAUGGUGUCAAUCCAAUGUCUUCAGCAGUCCUGAAGGACCAAAGUGACAUGCAUUGCUCUUGGUCUCUGCUUAUGUCCUGGAGGAGGUAAUUGGAGAAGGACUCACAUCAUCUCAUCAUCUGUGCUUCUGAGCCAUCUCUGUCUUUGUUUGCACAGCUGCUGGCAGCAUGUGCAGCAAUCUCAGACAGCCUGCAGUGUAUGCAGUCAGUACAGCAGGUCUGCCUGUUCUGUGUCCUGUUGAGACGUGGGAGAUAAAGGAAAGCAAGCACAGGAAGGCUUGUUCUGGUGGAGACAACUGAUCAGCCUGCUGGGCCUGUGAGAAGGCUUUGAAAAAUUGACUGCCAUUUUUUCACCUCUUGAUGCUAAGCUCUGAUGCUUCACAGGAAGUCCUGCCCCAGUGUCCUUGGUCCUUCUUUAGGCUCAGAGAACCCCAACCAUGUUGUGACAUUGGUCCUGGGGCUAAGUCUGAGCUCAGAGAUGGGUUACUGUCAUGGUCUGAAUGGGGCUUAGGGAGGGAGGUUCUCAGUAGAUCUAUAGAGACUUGUAGACCCACUAGGUGUUUCAUUUUCACCCCGAGGCAACUUUACAGCCCAGCCCUACUUGCCUAUAGUGGGGAGGAGUGAAUUUUCCCUCAAGUUGCUUGGGUUCUAAUCCCCAGGUUUGGAGCCAAUUUGUUGCUCUAAUUUCCAAAGCCAAUGAGACCAUAUAUAGAACAUAGAAUCCAAUGCAAUCAGGUCAAUCUCAGCUCCUCCUCUACAGUCCACUCUCCUUGCUCUUUUGCCCUUCCCUCUCUCCAACUGCUACCACCAUCAAACCUCCAUUCUCAUCUUUCCCCUCUACUCUCCGAUCACACAAUCUAGAUUUAUUGACAGGUUAAUAUAGGAAGAAGGUUCCCAUGAAAUCACCUGGGUAUUUAUGGUCUGCUCAUUUGGGGGCAAACCCUCUUGAGGAAGCAGAAUUAGCAUCACAAUACAAAAAGCAGGACUGGAUAAUUUAAAUGGGAACACUACCUAUGCUUUAAGACCUCCCUCCAAAGACACAUGAUGACUAUGGCCCAGGGGCCUCAAGGUUUCACCGGUUAUCACUGCAGCCUACAGUUUUCCAAAGUGGAUUCUGUGGCUUAAGAUUCUGGCCCAACAUCUCACUAGAGCCUAUGCAGAGAGUAUCGAUUGGGCCUAUAUAUUCCUUAACUUGCCAUGGAAUCUAGAAACACAUCACCAGAUUUCCACUGGGUCUGAAGGCUUUCGUCAUGUCCUCAAUGUCACCUAUAUCAUUCCACAGGUUCUCCAUGUGGCUAAAGGCCUUCUUCAAAGUGUUACUGAGACCUUCUGCCUUUCCCAAGUUCUUUUUGGAACAGAAAGGAUCUUAGAGAUUCUCGGUGUGCCCUAAGGCUUUUGGCAGGUUCAAUCUGGUACUAAGGCCUUCCUGAGACACACAACAAGGACUCAGGCCUGGCUAUGGUUCUAUAUGGGUCCUACAAUCUUUCAAAAGUUGAACCGGGGGCUUUCAGGUUCACUGGAGCACAAGGCCUUCCCCAGGAUAUCACUGGGACAUAUGCCUUGCUAGGUUUUUAAUGGGGCCUUAAGCCUUCCCCAGUAAGGUCUAAGGUUGUCAUUAGAACCUAAGGCUUUCCCCCAAAACUUACUAUAAUCUAAGGACUUCCCUGUGUUUCUUUGGUGUCUCAGGCUUUCUCAGGUUCUCUCAGGGACCUGAGGAUUUCUGAAGAUACUAAUGGACCCUAUGGCCUUGCCCAAAUUUUCACUGUUGUCUGCAGCUAUUUCCAGAAUACCACUGGGUCUUAAGGCCUUCUGUGUUUUCACUGGACUCUAAGACCUUCCUUUGAUUCUCACUAUUCUGAGCCUUUCCCUGAAUCUCAUUGGAGCCUCAGAUCUUCGUAGGUUUUUACUGGGACCUGUGCCCAUCCCUAGAUUCUCACUGAGGUCUAGACCUUCCCCAGAUUCUCGAUGUUGGCUAAGGUCAUCCUCAGAAUGUCAGCAUGGUAAGGCCUUCCUCCAUAUUAUGACUAAAACCUAAGGCUUUAGCUUACCCUGGUUCUGACUGGGUUUUCUAAGGCCUUCCACAGGUUCUGGUGGGGUCUAAAGGCUGUCCAAGAUUUUCACUGUAACCUGAGGCCUUUGACAGGCUUAUACUGAGGCCCAGGCCUUCCCAACUAUCACUGGAACCUAAGGCCUUUUUAGGGGCCUGUGGCUCUCUACAGUAUCCCAACAAUACCUAAGCCUUUUUCUAUGUUCUCAUUAGGGUCCAAGGGGUUUUCCAUGUUCUCAGUGGUACCUGAGGAUUUAUCUACGUUCUGACUGGGUCAUAAAGCUUUUACUAACCACUCUUAGGAGCGGGAGGCCUUCUCCAAUACUUGAUUUGUGGAGAAAGAUUUGCUAGGAUCACACUGGUGCUCCUGGGCUUUCCAAAGUACUCAUUGGGCUUAAGGUUUUCCCUAGAUUCUCUGUCAGGUCUAAGGAUGUCCCAAGGAUCAUAUAGCAUUUAAAGCCUUCUCCAGGGAUAUAAGAACUUUGUGUUCUUGCUGGCACCCAAGGCAUUCAAAAGGUAUUCACUGAGACCUAAGACCUUGCCAAAUUCUCACUGUGGAUCAGGACCCUCCCUAGUCCUUCACUGGUUGUAACUGUCUCCACAUUUUUACUUGGGAAUAAAUAAUUGCCCUGAUUCUCACCCAUGUCUAUUGCUUUCCAGAGAUUUCCCCUGGGAUUUAAGGUCUAAUAUUCUAACCAAGAAUUAAAGCCUUCCUUAGGACCUCCUAGGGGUUUAAUGUUUUCCUUGGUUCUCACUUGGGCUCAAUCCUUCUCCUGUGUUUCACUGGGACCUGUUGCCUUUCCAUGAUUUUACUAGGGCCCAAAGCUUUCCCCAGGUAUUUUCAGGGGCCUAGUACCCUCCCUGGAUUCUCAUUGAGGUCUUAGGUUGUCCCUCGAAAUGUAACUGACAUGUCUUGUUUUCUCACAGUCUCACUAAUAUCUAAUAACAUCCCCAGAUUCAGUCUAGGUUCUAAGAACUUUCCUGUGUCUACCUGGAAGUAAGGUUUGUUUUCAACAACCUUUGGUUGGCUUUCUCUAAUUUUGUCUUCGGUUGCUUCCUGGGUAUUUUCCCUGAUUAAUAUUUUAACUUCCUCCCUUAAUGUCUGUGCCCAUGGUUUACCUCUUUCCUUUUGCUCUUCAUCUUCUUCCAUAAUUUUCUGUAACCUCUGCUCAAGAUUCUACUUCUAAAUUUUAAUUACUCUAAUUUUAAUAGUCUUACAUCUCUUUUAUUUUGAUCAGUUAAUUUUAAAUGCUUCUUCUCUAAGCCUUGCUUACAAUCUUCAUUAUUUUCUCUCUGCUGCUCAGUCUGAUCUGUGAGGUGUCUCAUCCUUUGUUCUCCUGCCUUUUUCAUCUCCUGUCUCCAAACUUUUUGCCUCUCUCUGUUGUUUAUCUUGACCUAUACAUUCCUCUACCUUUAUUUCUACCAUUUCCUCUAGACCCUGUUGCAGAGUCUUAAGUUUCUUUACCUGUUUUUCAUUUUGCUUUGUAAAUUUCUGUAUCUUCUGUUCUAGGACCUGCUCCCAUAAUUUUGCUUUUGUUAUGAUGCCAUACUAACAUUGUAUCUACCUUAUCUUGAUUUACUAACUCUACUAAAUCAUCCCCUAGGCUCUCCUACUGAAUUUUAUUACUAUCUCUUUGUUGUUGAGUCUAAUAUAUGAAAUUCUGUAUCUUUUGUUCUAGUGUCUUUUCCAGCUCCUGUCUCCAACCUUCAUUUUCCUCUCAUUUUUGUUGUGUAAAAUCUUCUAAUCUCUUUAAAAAACUCAGGUUUUUACUGAGGGCCCUGUGUUGUAAGAAGACAUAGUAAACCAACAUUUUAAAAUUUACUUAACAUUUUAAUAAUGAUAACUGUUCAAGUGUUGAUUUCUUUUAAAUUUAUUCUUUUUGAACUAUUAAAAUUAUCAUUCCAUAAAA